UCCUCCAGACACCCCCAUCCAGCCUCGCUCUGUCCUCCCCCUCCCUGCAUGGCUCGGUACACACGCUGCCUGCCGGGGUCGCUGCAGGGCCGUCUACCAUGACCCGUAGCUCUUCCAUGACCUCGGUGAAGUCCUUCAGAUCGCUUCUUGGACCAGGUUCCCCGACCACAUGCAGGCGUCCGUGGAUCUCGUGCAGCAGGCCAGGACCAGGGCGUGGGUGCGUUCCGAUUCGGCCCGUGAGCUGCCUCGGCUGUGUGGAGGGCCUGAGGGUGCUGGACCAGUGGCUUACAGAGGUACAGAACGAAAACAAGGGACAGGAUUUGACCGUUGAAAACAAACACAGGUGGAGGAAAUGGGGGGAUGCGGUAGGCAGCCCGUGAGUCCCAGGGAGACGCUGGUGCCCAUACUGGAAGAGGAGGCGGAGGCGGAGGAGGCGACGGAGGGGAAGAAGGCGAGGUGAGGCGAGGCGAACUGACUGGCUGGCUUAUGCUCCGUUG